rnacentral:SRP_RNA from 1 species
GCCAGGUACAGUGGUGUGCGCCUGUAGUCCCAGCUACUCGGGAGGCUGAGGCAGGAGGAUGGCUUGAGCCCAGGAGUUUGGGGCUAUAGUGUGUUAUGCUGAUGGGGUGUCUGCACUAAGUUUGGCAUCAAUAUGGUGACCCCCAUGAGCAGGGGACCACAGGGUUGCCUAAGGAGGGGUGAAAGGGCCCAGGUUGGAAACAGAGCAGGUCAACAUUCCCACGCUGAUCAGUAGUGGGGAUCACACCUGUGAAUAGCCACAGCACUCCAGCCUGGGCAACAUUUUAUUU